rnacentral:rRNA from 1 species
UACGUAGGGGGCUAGCGUUGUCCGGAAUCAUUGGGCGUAAAGAGCUCGUAGGCGGUCUGUCGCGUCGGCUGUGAAAACCCGAGGCUCAACCUCGGGCCUGCAGUCGAUACGGGCAGACUAGAGGGCGGUAGGGGAGAGUGGAACUCCUGGUGUAGCGGUGAAAUGCGUAGAUAUCAGGAGGAACACCGGCGGUGUAGACGGCUUUCUGGACCGUAGCUGACGCUGAGACACGAAAGCGUGGGUAGCAAACAGG